CAUAAGCUUUCAUCUUCUAAUAAACUUCGUUGUUAUGAUGAAGUCCUUAGGACUAUUUAAAUUCGAUAAAGAGAAGAUUUAUCGAUUAGUCCUUAAAACUGUUCACGAUCAAAUGAUAAGCUGUUAAUAAGGACGACAGCUUCUAUCGAGCAUAGGUCGCUGUAGGCCAUAUGGGUUGGUUGUCCUCUUAACCAAGGAGUGUGGAGACACAGGUAUGGCAUACAGGUG
rnacentral:lncRNA from 1 species